rnacentral:rRNA from 1 species
UACGUAGGUGACGAGCGUUAUCCGGAAUUAUUGCGCGUAAAGCGCCCGCAAGCGGUCUGUCAAGUCUGACGUGAAAUCUCUUGGCUUAACUGGGAGCGGUCGUUGGAAACUGAUAGGCUUGAGGCGAUGAGAGGGGUGCAGAAUUCCUGGUGCAGUGGUGGAAUGCGUAGAGAUCAGGAGGAAUACCUGUGGCGAAAGCGGCACCCUGGCGUCGUUCUGACGCUCAUGUGCGAAAGCGUGGGGAGCGAACGGG